rnacentral:rRNA from 1 species
AGACCCGAAACCCGGUGAUCUAGCCAUGGGCAGGUUGAAGGUUGGGUAACACUAACUGGAGGACCGAACCGACUAAUGUUGAAAAAUUAGCGGAUGACCUGUGGCUGGGGGUGAAAGGCCAAUCAAACCGGGAGAUAGCUGGUUCUCCCCGAAAGCUAUUUAGGUAGCGCCUCGUGAAUUCAUCUCCGGGGGUAGAGCACUGUUUCGGCUAGGGGGCCAUCCCGGCUUACCAACCCGAUGCAAACUGCGAAUACCGGAGAAUGUUAUCACGGGAGACACACGGCGGGUGCUAACGUCCGUCGUGAAGAGGGAAACAACCCAGACCGCCAGCUAAGGUCCCAAAGUCAUGGUUAAGUGGGAAACGAUGUGGGAAGGCCCAGACAGCCAGGAUGUUGGCUUAGAAGCAGCCAUCAUUUAAAGAAAGCGUAAUAGCUCACUGGUCGAGUCGGCCUGCGCGGAAGAUGUAACGGGGCUAAACCAUGCACCGAAGCUGCGGCAGCGAACGUAUCACUUAAAGCGAUUCAGCGGGUUACGAUUGACGGAGCGAAGCGACGUCAAAGCGUAUACAAAGUCGAGUCGGUUUAAGGAUACGUUCGUUGGGUAGGGGAGCGUUCUGUAAGCCUGCGAAGGUGGCCUGUGAGGGUUGCUGGAGGUAUCAGAAGUGCGAAUGCUGACAUAAGUAACGAUAAAGCGGGUGAAAAGCCCGCUCGCCGGAAGACCAAGGGUUCCUGUCCAACGUUAAUCGGGGCAGGGUGAGUCGACCCCUAAGGCGAGGCCGAAAGGCGUAGUCGAUGGGAAACGGGUUAAUAUUCCCGUACUUGGUGUUACUGCGAAGGGGGGACGGAGAAGGCUAUGUUGGCCGGGCGACGGUUGUCCCGGUUUAAGCGUGUAGGCUGGUUUUCCAGGCAAAUCCGGAAAAUCAAGGCUGAGGCGUGACGACGAGGCACUACGGUGCUGAAGCAACAAAUGCCCUGCUUCCAGGAAAAGCCUCUAAGCAUCAGGUAACACGAAAUCGUACCCCAAACCGACACAGGUGGUCAGGUAGAGAAUACCAAGGCGCUUGAGAGAACUCGGGUGAAGGAA